UUAGGUCCUUUUGAUUUCUUACAGGUUGAGUCGUUGUUGCCCAUAGCAGGCUAGCAUUCUGCUAAUCAAUGCUGAUUGGUCAGUGAAGGACUGAUUACGACAAAGGAUCUCGCUUGAUGGCUUCUGAAGCGGAACCACAAUGUCAAAGUGAAUAAUGUAUAUCUUUCUAGCACGUGUAUUGACAGAGAGAGCCUAACCUGUCAGCUGUGUUGUCGAUGCCUUGAAAGAAAAAAGGAAGUGACUCAGAGCUUGACGUAAAGCAGUAUCUCUGGCCGUACGAUAUGUAUGACGUCACUGAGAAUUUAAAAGGCUUUUUAGAACAAAAAAAUAACUCAAAAAAAAGUAACACCCAGAAGCGUUUAUUUCGUUAGCCUCCCCUUUCAAAUGCAACAUUCAAAUUACUAGACAAAAAAUGUUAUCUUGAGAAAAGUGGAUUUG